rnacentral:rRNA from 1 species
GAUGAACGCUAGCGGCAGGCUUAAUACAUGCAAGUCGAGGGGCAGCACGGUUAGCAAUAACUGGUGGCGACCGGCGCACGGGUGCGUAACACGUAUACAAUCUACCUUAAACAGGGGGAUAGCCUUUCGAAAGAGAGAUUAAUACCCCGUAAUAAAUUGAACGGCAUCGUUUGAUUUUGAAAGCUCCGGCGGUUUGAGAUGAGUAUGCGUCUGAUUAGCUAGUUGGUGAGGUAACGGCUCACCAAGGCGACGAUCAGUAGGGGAUCUGAGAGGACUAACCCCCACACUGGUACUGAGACACGGACCAGACUCCUACGGGAGGCAGCAGUAAGGAAUAUUGGUCAAUGGAGGCAACUCUGAACCAGCCAUGCCGCGUGCAGGAUGACGGCCCUAUGGGUUGUAAAGCUCUUUUACUCGGGACGAUAAUGACGGUACCGAGAGAAUAAGCCCCGGCUAACUCCGUGCCAGCAGCCGCGGUAAU